AUGGCACUGCACGAAGGCAGCUGGAUUAGGACCCUUGGAGCAGGUUGCUCUACAAAAUUCUCCCCAAGUUGCCCCAGCAGCGAAAGAUCGAGCUACUUGCAUGUGCCCUAGUUGCACACUUCAAAGAGACCCGAAGUUACUAGCAAAGAUGCCACCCAUAGCCAUGCGCGUUGGUGGUCGCCAUGUUUCAUCUGCCCCAUUCAAGACAUCAAGACAAGCUCAUUCACUUACACAGACCGAUGCUGCAUGUCAGGCGGGAAUGGAAUUACGGGGAAGUCUGAUUGUCUUCAUGUCGGCGACCACUGGAGCCGAAGCAUCAACUCAAGUUUCUCACACUGAACAUUGCAAUAAGAAACUUUGACAGAACGAGAGGGAGCAGCUAGCUGACUCAACACCCGAGUUGGCAGGUGAUGAUGGCAUCAGCCAGUGCAAGAUAUAGCAGCAGAAAUGGUGGCACAAAGUGUGCUUGAUCUCAUGGGACAGUAAGAGCAUGUCAAGUGAUAAUGGUGGUAUUUUACAAGGAUCACAGGAGACUGCGGUGGCCACCAUACCGAUUUGCCUUCCAUCGUAGUCACUUGGGAAAAUGCUACCUCGUCAGCCAUAUUUACCACAUCAGCACAAGGUCAAACUCUCGGAGAAAGUGGCUGACUUAUAUAAGUCAAGUCGCUGGGAAUGAUGGCAGCUGAAAAGGAAGAUGUGGAUUCUUCAGGUCUGGGACACCGAGCAGAAUGAGAUGGCUUUUCAGGAUAUGUGCAGUUGACAUACUGGACUCCCAUCAUCUUCUCAACAUUCUGCAACAGCAGAGCUACCGAAGCAUGAAUGUAACCUGUGAAAACAAGCUAAUUCUAUUCUUGGCCAAGCUUGGGAAAAGCUUCCAUACUUUGUCUGUGAUGUUAUUGUGAUAGGAAUUGUGUAUAUGGACACUCUUGACGGGUUCUUGCCAUUGCUGUUAUGUUCUGCAUAAAGUCCAAAUCUAUAACAGUGCCCCAUGCAUCGUAUAUUCUACACGCGAGUAAAAGCGCACGAGUGCUAGCGACGAAUGCGGCUCAAGUAGAGAGGAAAC